UACGUAGGGUGCGAGCGUUUGUCCGGAAUUAUUGGGCGUAAAGGGCUCGUAGGCGGUCUGUUGCGUCAGGAGUGAAAACUCGGGGCUUAACCCCGAGCCUGCUUCUGAUACGGGCAGAUUAGAGGUAUGCAGGGGAGAACGGAAUUCCUGGUGUAGCGGUGAAAUGCGUAGAUAUCUGGAGGAACACCGGUGGCGAAGGCGGCAUCCUGGACCGGUAUUGACGCUGAGGCGCGAAAGCCAGGGGAGCAAACGGG
rnacentral:rRNA from 1 species